rnacentral:rRNA from 1 species
GCUCAACCGAGGAAGUGCUUCGAAAACUGGUAAACUUGAGUGCAGAAGAGGAAAGUGGAACUCCAUGUGUAGCGGUGGAAUGCGUAGAUAUAUGGAAGAACACCAGUGGCGAAGGCGGCUUUCUGGUCUGUAACUGACGCUGAGAUUCGAAAGCAUGGGUAGCAAACAGGAUUAGAUACCCUGGUAGUCCAUGCCGUAAACGAUGAGUGCUAAGUGUUGGAGGGUUUCCGCCCUUCAGUGCUGCAGCUAACGCAUUAGGCACUCCGCCUGGGGAGUACGAUCGCAAGAUUGAAACUCAAAGGAAUUGACGGGGGCCCGCACAAGCGGUGGAGCAUGUGGUUUAAUUCGAAGCAACGCGAAGAACCUUACCAGGUCUUGACAUACCAUGAAAAGCUAAGAGAUUAGUCUUUCCCUUCGGGGACAUGGAUACAGGUGGUGCAUGGUUGUCGUCAGCUCGUGUCGUGAGAUGUUGGGUUAAGUCCCGCAACGAGCGCAACCCUUAUUAUCAGUUGCCAGCAUUCAGUUGGGCACUCUGGUGAGACUGCCGGUGACAAACUGGAGGAAGGUGGGGACGACGUCAAAUCAUCAUGCCCCUUAUGACCUGCGCUACACACGUGCUACAAUGGUCGGUACAACG